ACGCUGGCGGCGUGCCUAAUACAUGCAAGUAGAACGCUGAAGGAGGAGCUUGCUUCUCUGGAUGAGUUGCGAACGGGUGAGUAACGCGUAGGUAACCUGCCUGGUAGCGGGGGAUAACUAUUGGAAACGAUAGCUAAUACCGCAUAAUAGUAGAUGUUGCAUGACAUUUACUUAAAAGGUGCAAUUGCAUCACUACCAGAUGGACCUGCGUUGUAUUAGCUAGUUGGUGGGGUAACGGCUCACCAAGGCGACGAUACAUAGCCGACCUGAGAGGGUGAUCGGCCACACUGGGACUGAGACACGGCCCAGACUCCUACGGGAGGCAGCAGUAGGGAAUCUUCGGCAAUGGACGGAAGUCUGACCGAGCAACGCCGCGUGAGUGAAGAAGGUUUUCGGAUCGUAAAGCUCUGUUGUAAGAGAAGAACGAGUGUGAGAGUGGAAAGUUCACACUGUGACGGUAUCUUACCAGAAAGGGACGGCUAACUACGUGCCAGCAGCCGCGGUAAUACGUAGGUCCCGAGCGUUGUCCGGAUUUAUUGGGCGUAAAGCGAGCGCAGGCGGUUAGAUAAGUCUGAAGUUAAAGGCUGUGGCUUAACCAUAGUUCGCUUUGGAAACUGUCAAACUUGAGUGCAGAAGGGGAGAGUGGAAUUCCAUGUGUAGCGGUGAAAUGCGUAGAUAUAUGGAGGAACACCGGUGGCGAAAGCGGCUCUCUGGUCUGUAACUGACGCUGAGGCUCGAAAGCGUGGGGAGCGAACAGGAUUAGAUACCCUGGUAGUCCACGCCGUAAACGAUGAGUGCUAGGUGUUGGAUCCUUUCCGGGGUUUAGUGCCGCAGCUAACGCAUUAAGCACUCCGCCUGGGGAGUACGACCGCAAGGUUGAAACUCAAAGGAAUUGACGGGGGCCCGCA
rnacentral:rRNA from 1 species